AGGGUUGUAGCUCAGUGGUAGAGUGCUUGCCUAACAUGCACGAGGCCCUGGGUUCAAUCCCCAGCACCACAA
rnacentral:tRNA from 1 species